rnacentral:rRNA from 1 species
UGGGGAAUAUUGCACAAUGGGCGCAAGCCUGAUGCAGCCAUGCCGCGUGUAUGAAGAAGGCCUUCGGGUUGUAAAGUACUUUCAGUCGGGAGGAAGGUGGUAAGGUUAGUAACCUUAUCAAUUGACGUUACCGACAGAAGAAGCACCGGCUAACUCCGUGCCAGCAGCCGCGGUAAUACGGAGGGUGCAAGCGUUAAUCGGAAUUACUGGGCGUAAAGCGCACGCAGGCGGUUGAUUGAGUCAGAUGUGAAAUCCCCGGGCUUAACCCGGGAAUUGCAUCUGAUACUGGUCAGCUAGAGUCUUGUAGAGGGGGGUAGAAUUCCAUGUGUAGCGGUGAAAUGCGUAGAGAUGUGGAGGAAUACCGGUGGCGAAGGCGGCCCCCUGGACAAAGACUGACGCUCAGGUGCGAAAGCGUGGGGAGCAAACAGG